GACGAACGCUGGCGGCGUGCUUAACACAUGCAAGUCGAACGGAAAGGCCCUGCUUUUGUGGGGUGCUCGAGUGGCGAACGGGUGAGUAACACGUGAGUAACCUGCCCUUGACUUUGGGAUAACUUCAGGAAACUGGGGCUAAUACCGGAUAGGAGCUCCUGCUGCAUGGUGGGGGUUGGAAAGUUUCGGCGGUUGGGGAUGGACUCGCGGCUUAUCAGCUUGUUGGUGGGGUAGUGGCUUACCAAGGCUUUGACGGGUAGCCGGCCUGAGAGGGUGACCGGCCACAUUGGGACUGAGAGACGGACCAGACUCCUACGGGAGGCAGCAGUGGGGAGUAUUGCACAAUGAGCGGGAGCCUGAUGCAGCAGCGCCGCGUGCGGGAUGACGGCCUUCGGGUUAUAAACCGCUUUCGCCUGUGACGAAGCGUGAGUGACGGUAAUGGGUAAAGAAGCACCGGCUAACUACGUG
rnacentral:rRNA from 1 species